rnacentral:rRNA from 1 species
GACGAACCGAGCGAACGUUAUUCGGAAUCACUGGGCUUAAAGGGUGCGUAGGCGGGCCCGUCAGUCAGGGGUGAAAUCCCACGGCCCAACCGUGGAAGUGCCUCUGAUACUGCGGGCCUGGAGGGGGAUAGGGGCGUGCGGAACUUCCGGUGGAGCGGUGAAAUGCGUAGAUAUCGGGAAGAACACCCGUGGCGAAGGCGGUUCUCUGGGACGGUACUGACGCUGAGACGCGAAAGCGUGGGGAGCGAACAGG